UGGGGAAUAUUGGACAAUGGGCGCAAGCCUGAUCCAGCCAUGCCGCGUGAGUGAUGAAGGCCCUAGGGUUGUAAAGCUCUUUCACCGGUGAAGAUAAUGACGGUAACCGGAGAAGAAGCCCCGGCUAACUUCGUGCCAGCAGCCGCGGUAAUACGAAGGGGGCUAGCGUUGUUCGGAUUUACUGGGCGUAAAGCGCACGUAGGCGGACUUUUAAGUCAGGGGUGAAAUCCCGGGGCUCAACCCCGGAACUGCCUUUGAUACUGGAAGUCUUGAGUAUGGUAGAGGUGAGUGGAAUUCCGAGUGUAGAGGUGAAUUUCGUAGAUAUUCGGAGGAACACCAGUGGCGAAGGCGGCUCACUGGACCAUUACUGACGCUGAGGUGCGAAAGCGUGGGGAGCAAACAGG
rnacentral:rRNA from 1 species